AUGUAGCUCAGGGGCAAAGUGUUUGUCUAACAUACACAAGGUCCUGGGUUCAAUUCCCAGCAU
rnacentral:tRNA from 1 species